UAUACCAGUGAUAACAACUGGUGGCAUAUGAGUUAUAAACAAUGAAUACUAUGUGUCUGGAACUCCGGGGUCCAA
ensembl:snoRNA